CUCCACCAGACCAGUUGGUCUUGUGUUGGUUUCAGCACCGGACAGCUCCAACCGCCGCUGUCCGUUCAGCACCGGAGAGAAAAGAGAGAAGAAGAAGAAGAAGUUUCCGCCGACACACUCCGGGUGGAAAUUCCCACGCAGGACGCAGGGGGAACAAAGGAUUUCCAUGACACAAGGGGCCCAGGACAGGACUGAAGGGAGGAGGAGGAGGGGUUGGAGGAGGAAGGGAUAAAUUAGGAGAACGUACCCCAGCAGAGCGGCGAACAGACUCUGGAGGAGCAGAGACAACAGAAGAGGGGAUCAGAGGAUAAAUGAGGAAUAAAUGACAGGAAAGUUUUAGAAA